rnacentral:tRNA from 1 species
GUCUCUGUAGUUCAGUUGGAAGAACAGCGGAUUUUUAAUCCGCGAGUCGUUGGUUCGAAUCCAAUCAGGGACACCA